rnacentral:rRNA from 1 species
GAGUUUGAUCAUGGCUCAGGAUGAACGCUGGCGACGUGCCUAAUGCAUGCAAGUCGCACGCAGUGCCUUCGGGUAUUGAGUGGCGGACGGCUGAGGAACACGUGGGUAUCUGCCUGGCAGUGGGGGAUAACGGGCCGAAAGGUCCGCUAAACCCGCAUACGUUCCCCUUUAUCGGGGAAGAAAGCAGCAAUGCGCUGCCAGAGGAGCCUGCGGCCCAUCAGAUAGUUGGCGGGUAAUGGCCCUCAAGUCGAUGACGGGUCCCUGGUCUGAGAGGACGACCAGGCAGACUGGGACUGAGACACGGCCCAGACUCCUACGGAGGCAGCAGCAAGGAAUUUCGGCAAUGGGCGCAAGCCCUGACCGAGCAACGUCGCGUGGA